rnacentral:lncRNA from 14 species
CUUCUUUGAAAGAAUAAUGAAUGAAGAUGGUGGAAAAGAAUGUUAGAAUGGAAUGCAUAUAAUUAUGGCAGGUUAAAAUGCUUUCAAAGAUUAAGAAGAAGUGUGCACCAGCCACACAAAUUUGCUGUUGACACCAGCAUAUUGAAACUUCAGGGAGCUAACCCC